CACGCGGUGAGUGAUGGAGGAGGAUAUAUACUGCUGUGUACUCGACCAGCGGGUGAGAGGUGGCAAAUUCUCUGAGCUGGCACGUUGAUUGGUUAGUCUUCAACUGCCUCCCAACAUGGUAGUGAGGUCCUGAGCUGACAUGCAGUGAGGAA